AUUAUAAGAUACCCACUGCAUUUGCAAAUACUUAAACAAUAUGGACACUUCUCUCUUUGUCAAUGGGUAGCAAAUAUUUUAAUUCCUCUCCAUACUAAUCCAUUCAUUAAAUUACGUGGAAUAUCUUGUCAUCAAAAGAUUCAGUUCAACAAUAUCCUGAAAAUUCUCACCUAGGGCAACAUCAAUUACCACGCCCAGCUGCCAGAGGUUCAUAAGCGCACCAUGUUCCACCCUG
rnacentral:lncRNA from 1 species